UUUUUUUAAUUUUUUAUCAUGCAACCUGAUUAUCCCAAUAAUUUAAGAGGAAAUUUGUGGUUUGGACAGUUUUUUUUUAAAAGUAAUAUGUGGUUUGGCCCCUUUACUGUUUACAAUUGGGGAAACACAACAAACCCAACUAUUGCUUUUCUUUUCUAUUUUUUUGUUUUUUUUUAAUUUUUUUUUUCUCUUUUUUUUUUCUCUCUUUCCUAAAUCUUAUAAACACAAAUUUAUUACACUUUUUUCGUUCAAAAAUUUAUCUAAAUAUGUUAUUAAUCUUUAGAACUUUUUCUCCAAUCUUUAAAGACCAAUUUUGAUAUAUUUUGCAAAUAUAAAAAGUUUUAUUUUUUCAUAUUUAAUAUAUUCGUAUUCUAUGUUCAGUGUUCAUAUUCUUUGUAGCAUGUUUGUACUCUGCUCUUUUGUGGUAUUCGUAUUCCCUUUCUGGUAUUCAUACUCCCUUAUGGUGUUUGUACUCCAUUCCUGCUGUUUGUAUUCUCCUUAUGGUCUACGUUUAAUAUGCUCUUAUCCUUAUGUUG
rnacentral:lncRNA from 1 species